CCGGGCGGAGACAUUACUGAUUGCUUAAUUGCACCACAUGUGUUUUUCUUUGAAACAAACUUGCUUUGGCGGUGGGCCCAGCCUGCCGCCAGAGGUCUAAACUUACAACCAAUUUUUUAUCAACUUGUCACACCAGAUUAUUACUAAUAGUCAAAACUUUCAACAACGGAUCUCUUGGUUCUCGCAUCGAUGAAGAACGCAGCGAAAUGCGAUACGUAAUAUGAAUUGCAGAUAUUCGUGAAUCAUCGAAUCUUUGAACGCACAUUGCGCCCUCUGGUAUUCCGGAGGGCAUGCCUGUUUGAGCGUCGUUUCUCCCUCAAACCGCUGGGUUUGGUGUUGAGCAAUACGACUUGGGUUUGCUUGAAAGACGGUAGUGGUAAGGCGGGAUCGCUUUGACAAUGGCUUAGGUCUAACCAAAAACAUUGCUUGCGGCGGUAACGUCUACCACGUAUAUCUUCAAACUUUGACCUCAAAUCAGGUAGGACUACCCGCUGAACUUAAGCAUAUCAAUAAGCGGAGAAAAGAAACCAA
rnacentral:rRNA from 1 species